AGUGAACGCUGGCGGUAGGCCUAACACAUGCCAGUCGAACGGCAGCACAGUAAGAGCUUGCUCUUACGGGUGGCGAGUGGCGGACGGGUGAGGAAUACAUCGGAAUCUACUUUUUCGUGGGGGAUAACGUAGGGAAACUUACGCUAAUACCGCAUACGACCUACGGGUGAAAGCAGGGGAUCUUCGGACCUUGCGCGAUUGAAUGAGCCGAUGUCGGAUUAGCUAGUUGGCGGGGUAAAGGCCCACCAAGGCGACGAUCCGUAGCUGGUCUGAGAGGUUGAUCAGCCACACUAGAACUGAGACACGGUCCAGACUCCUACGGGAGGCAGCGGUGGGGAAUAUUGGACAAUGGGCGCAAGCCUGAACCAGCAAUACCGCGUGGGUGAAGAAGGCCUUCGGGUUGUAAAGCCCUUUUGUUGGGAAAGAAAAGCAGCAGGUUAAUACCCCGCUGUUCUGACGGUACCCAAAGAAUAAGCACCGGCUAACUUCGUG
rnacentral:rRNA from 1 species